GACACUUUGGCCGAGUGGUUAAGGCGUUCGCCUGCUACCUCCUUGGUAAUAGCGGAUGGGCUCUGCCCGCGAGCGUUCGAAUCGCUCAGGUGUCG
rnacentral:tRNA from 1 species